CCUGAGAAACCCGAAAGAUCGAAAGGGGAGAUUCAUCAUCAGCGACGUCGGCUUUUCGGUGGUUCCCGAUGCGCUGCGCCCACCUCGGUCGGGCGUUUGCCGCACGGGUCCUCCGUGCAAUCCCAUGUCCGGCGGCGUCGGCGUGCACUUCUCCCCUAGUAGGACGUCGCGACCCGUUGGGUGUCGGUCUACGGCUCGAGUCGUCGCCUGUCCCGUCGCUUCGGCGUCUCGGGGCAGACGCUCGGUCGCCCGGCCGGCUGCCCGGCGGUACGCGCACGGUAUCUGGCCGCAAUUUCUUCUCGAACGCACUGCGUCUAAGGCCCGCCGCAAGCGCGGUCAGUGUAAACCCGGAGGUACGGACCUGGUGCCGUCCCCGGGCCUGGCCCGCUGUUCGCCGGCGGUGUUCUCUGACAGGCCACGAGCGAUGAUACCGGUCGGCGACGCUAUUGCUUUGGGUACUUUCAGG
rnacentral:rRNA from 1 species